rnacentral:lncRNA from 1 species
UUCUGAUAAAUAAUCUUUUUUGAUAAAGUCUUUAUUUAUUUUUCUCUUUUUCCUUUCUAGCUUAGCUGCUAGAUAGGCUGCUAUAUACUCAUCUGAAUAUUGAUUAUUAUCAUAAGUAUCUUCUUCUAUUUGCAGAGUACAUACUUAAAAAUCUUGUAAUUCUUCUAUACUGGGUUCAGUAGUAUGUGUUGUAUGAGAUUUAGAUGUGUAUGUAGGAAUCACAACAUUAUCUGUGGUUCUUUGUGUUCCCUGAAAUUGAAUAUCUGAAUUUGAUGAAGAAGG